UACGGAGGGGGCUAGCGUUGUCCGAAGUUACUGGGCGUAAAGCGCGCGUAGGCGGCUUUGUAAGUUAGAGGUGAAAGCCCGGAGCUCAACUCCGGAACUGCCUUUAAGACUGCAUCGCUAGAAUUGUGGAGAGGUAAGUGGAAUUCCGAGUGUAGAGGUGAAAUUCGUAGAUAUUCGGAAGAACACCAGUGGCGAAGGCGACUUACUGGACACAUAUUGACGCUGAGGUGCGAAAGCGUGGGGAGCAAACAGG
rnacentral:rRNA from 1 species